rnacentral:tRNA from 1 species
UGCAUUAGUAGCUCAGUUCAGAGCGCUG